UACGGAGAGUGCAAGCAUUAAUCGGAAUGAUUGGGCGUAAAGGGCGCGUAGGCGGAGAUAUAAGUCAGAUGUGAAAUUCCGAAGCUCAACUUCGGAGCUGCAUUUGAGACUGUAUUUCUCGAGGAUUGACGGAGAAAAUGGAAUUCCACGAGUAGCGGUGAAAUGCGUAGAUAUGUGGAAGAACACCUGUGGCGAAAGCGGUUUUCUAGUUUAUUCCUGACGCUGAGGCGCGAGAGCAAGGGGAGCAAACAGG
rnacentral:rRNA from 1 species